CCUACGGGGGGCAGCAGUGAGGAAUAUUGGUCAAUGGGCGAGAGCCUGAACCAGCCAAGUCGCGUGAAGGAUGAAGGAUCUAUGGUUUGUAAACUUCUUUUAUAUGGGAAUAAAGUGAGGAACGUGUUCCUUUUUGUAUGUACCAUAUGAAUAAGCAUCGGCUAACUCCGUGCCAGCAGCCGCGGUAAUACGGAGGAUGCGAGCGUUAUCCGGAUUUAUUGGGUUUAAAGGGUGCGUAGGUGGUUAAUUAAGUCACCGGUGAAAGUUUGUGGCUCAACCAUAAAAUUGCCGUUGAAACUGGACGCCUUGAGUUCACAACAGGCAGGCGGAAUUCGUGGUGUAGCGGUGAAAUGCAUAGAUAUCACGAGGAACCCCGAUUGCGAAGGCAGCCUGCCGGGGUGCGACUGACGCUGAGGCUCGAAGGUGCGGGUAUCAAACAGGAUUAGAUACCCGUGUAGUC
rnacentral:rRNA from 1 species